GACGAGCGCUGGCGGCGUGCUUAACACAUGCAAGUCGAACGGUAAGGCCCUUCGGGGUACACGAGUGGCGAACGGGUGAGUAACACGUGGGUGAUCUGCCCUGCACUUCGGGAUAAGCCGGGGAAACUGGGUCUAAUACCGGAUAGGACCCUGGGAUGCAUGUCCUGGGGUGGAAAGCUUUUGCGGUGUGGGAUGGGCCCGCGGCCUAUCAGUUUGUUGGUGGGGUGAUGGCCUACCAAGGCGACGACGGGUAGCCGGCCUGAGAGGGUGACCGGCCACACUGGGACUGGGAUACGGCCCAGACUCCUACGGGAGGCAGCAGUGGGGAAUAUUGCACAAUGGGCGCAAGCCUGAUGCAGCGACGCCGCGUGAGGGAUGACGGCCUUCGGGUUGUAAACCUCUUUCAGCACCGACGAAGCGCAAGUGACGGUAGGUGCAGAAGAAGGACCGGCCAGCUACGUGCCAGCAGCCGCAGUAA
rnacentral:rRNA from 1 species